rnacentral:pre_miRNA from 1 species
CAACCUCCACAGGCUGGCUGGUCCCCAGGCCCGGCUGGGCGAGUAUCACUUUGAAAGGCUCCCCCUCGAGCAUCAACUAGGAGC